UACGUAGGGUGCAAGCGUUUGUCCGGAAUUAUUGGGCGUAAAGAGCUCGUAGGCGGUUUGUCGCGUCUGCUGUGAAAACGCGAGGCUCAACCUCGCGCCUGCAGUGGGUACGGGCAGACUAGAGUGCGGUAGGGGAGAUUGGAAUUCCUGGUGUAGCGGUGGAAUGCGCAGAUAUCAGGAAGAACACCCGUGGCGAAGGCGGCUCUCUGGGACGGUACUGACGCUGAGACGCGAAAGCGUGGGGAGCGAACAGG
rnacentral:rRNA from 1 species